rnacentral:rRNA from 1 species
GUCCUUAGUUACCAGCACGUUAUGGUGGGCACUCUAAGGAGACUGCCGGUGACAACCGGAGGAAGGUGGGAUGACGUCAAGUCAUCACUGGCCCUUACGGGCCUGGGCUACACACGUGCUACAAUGGUCGGUACAAAGGGUUGCCAAGCCGCGGAGGUGGAGCUAAUCCCAUAAACCGAUCGUAGUCCGGAUCGCAGUCUGCAACUCGACUGCGUGAAGUCGGAAUCGCUAGUAAUCGUGAAUCAGAAUGUCACGGUGAAUACGUUCCCGGGCCUU